CUGUCUCUUGCUUCAACAGUGCUUGGAUAGAACAU
rfam:TPA: Bos taurus chromosome 1, whole genome shotgun sequence.